GACGGAGGAUGCAAGUGUUAUCCGGAAUGAUUGGGCGUAAAGCGUCUGUAGGUGGCUUUUUAAGUCCGCCGUCAAAUCCCAGGGCUCAACCCUGGACAGGCGGUGGAAACUACCAAGCUGGAGUACGGUAGGGGCAGAGGGAAUUUCCGGUGGAGCGGUGAAAUGCGCAGAUAUCAGGAGGAACACCGGUGGCGAAGGCGGGUCUCUGGGCCGUAACUGACGCUGAGGAGCGAAAGCAUGGGGAGCGAACAGG
rnacentral:rRNA from 1 species